rnacentral:rRNA from 1 species
GCGAACAGAUAAGGGAGCUUGGCUCCUUUGACGUUAGCGGCGGACGGGUGAGUAACACGUGGAUAACCUACCUAUAAGACUGGGAUAACUUCGGGAAACCGGAGCUAAUACCGGAUAAGAUUUUGAACCGCAUGGUUCAAUAGUGAAAGACGGCCUUGCUGUCACUUAUAGAUGGAUCCGCGCCGUAUUAGCUAGUUGGUAAGGUAACGGCUUACCAAGGCAACGAUACGUAGCCGACCUGAGAGGGUGAUCGGCCACACUGGAACUGAGACACGGUCCAGACUCCUACGGGAGGCAGCAGUAGGGAAUCUUCCGCAAUGGGCGAAAGCCUGACGGAGCAACGCCGCGUGAGUGAUGAAGGUCUUCGGAUCGUAAAACUCUGUUAUCAGGGAAGAACAACAACGUGUAAGUAACUGUGCACGUUCUUGACGGUACCUGGAUCAGAAAGCCACGGCUAACUACGUGCCAGCAGCCGCGGUAAUACGGUAGGUGGCAAGCGUUAUCCGGAAUUAUUGGGCGUAAAGCGCGCGUAGGGCGGUUUUUUAAGUCUGAUGUGAAAGCCCACGUGCUCA